UACGGCUCAGUAACACGUGGCCAAACUACCCUACAGACCGCGAUAACCUCGGAAACAGAGGCCAAUAGCGGAUAUAACUCUCAUGUUGGAGUGCCGAGAGUGAGAAACGUUCCGGCGCUGUAGGAUGUGGCUGCGGCCGAUUAGGUAGAUGGUGGGGUAACGGCCCACCAUGCCGAUAAUCGGUACAGGUUGUGAGAGCAAGAGCCUGGAGACGGUAUCUGAGACAAGAUACCGGGCCCUACGGGGCGCAGCAGGCGCGAAACCUUUACACUGCACGACAGUGCGAUAGGGGGACUCCGAGUGUGAGGGCAUAUAGCCCUCGCUUUUCUGAACCGUAAGGUGGUUCAGGAACAAGGACUGGGCAAGACCGGUGCCAGCCGCCGCGGUAAUACCGGCAGUCCAAGUGAUGGCCGAUAUUAUUGGGCCUAAAGCGUCCGUAGCUUGCUGUGUAAGUCCAUUGGGAAAUCGACCAGCUCAACUGGUCGGCGUCCGGUGGAAACUACACAGCUUGGGGCCGAGAGACUCAACGGGUACGUCCGGGGUAGGAGUGAAAUCCUGUAAUCCUGGACGGACCACCAAUGGGGAAACCACGUUGAGAGACCGGACCCGACAGUGAGGGACGAAAGCCAGGGUCUCGAACCGGAUUAGAUACCCGGGUAGUCCUGGCUGUAAACAAUGUUCGCUAGGUAUGUCACGCGCCUUGAGCACGUGAUGUGCCGUAGUGAAGACGAUAAGCGAGCCGCCUGGGAAGUACGUCCGCAAGGAUGAAACUUAAAGGAAUUGGCGGGGGAGCACCACAACCGGAGGAGCCUGCGGUUUAAUUGGACUCAACGCCGGA
rnacentral:rRNA from 1 species